AGUAGCGCGGCGGGAGGAGGGAGCGUGACGUCGUAAAAGCUCAAAGACAAACGCUAAGAAGCCGAUAUCGCCCGCGGAGAGCAAAGCAGAGAGUUUCUGAGCCGCUAUUGGCUGCCGGCAGGUGGCUGCUUGCCUGCUAUUGGUCGCUGUCCCUCCGCCCCCCCGUUCCAUCUCCAAGUCUUCUGCCCGCCUCUUGACUUGCUGUGUCAAGGGCACUAGAAGCGGGGCUGUGGCUGCGCGAAGGAGAGCGAGCUCCCGCCUGCAGACACGCCCGGCCCCUAGAUAAAGGCUGCCUGCCAGCCAGCGUAUUCCCUUUUCAUGCUUGAUCCUGCCUGAAAAGUCAUAAUCCUUUGCCUAGAGAACAGCCUUUGCUCAGGAAUUAGUUUGAUGGUGGAAAAUUGUGAAGUCUGGUUGCCUUUAGACAUACCGCCUGCUAGCAGCAGUUUACAGCCCAGCAGAGGAAAAGCAGUAAUAUCACUUAUGAAAAAAUCCUGCUGCCUCUUGUUUCUGAAAUCCUUUACUCAAGAAAGGUACAAGAAGACCGUGGCAUGGAAAAAGUUUUGAAGUACCUGCACCAGAAAUCUCACACUUACCCUGCCAACAUGGUGUACAACAGGAUCCCUAAGCUCCAGAUGUCACAGGCUGCGUCAUAACCUUGUCGUUUCAGGACCUACAUAAGGAAAUCAAGAGAGACAAGGCAGUGAGAGAAAGGAAGGACAGCGAUAGAGACAUGCUUUUUGUUAUAAAAUUCUGUAUCCACCGUUUAUGAAACACAGUCCUACCUCAGGGGCUACGAAGUUGGCUGUGUAGCAAGGUGUCAUGAGCAGUCCAUUCUCUGCUCUCAGCUGUUUGGCAAAUCCGAAGUCACAGAUCCUGAUGGAAUCUGGGUUUCCUGACUCAUCCAUGUAGAGAAUGUUACUGGGCUUCAGAUCUCGAUGCACAACCUUAAUGGGAAACAAAUAAAUAACAUGGGCAUGAUUACACA